rnacentral:rRNA from 1 species
CCUACGGGCGGCAGCAGUGAGGAAUAUUGGUCAAUGGCCGUAAGGCUGAACCAGCCAAGUCGCGUGAAGGAAGAAGGAUCUAUGGUUUGUAAACCUCUUUUAUAGGGGAAUAAAGGUAUCCACGUGUGGAUCUUUGCAUGUACCCUAUGAAUAAGCAUCGGCUAACUCCGUGCCAGCAGCCGCGGUAAUACGGAGGAUGCGAGCGUUAUCCGGAUUUAUUGGGUUUAAAGGGUGCGCAGGCUGUGUUUUAAGUCAGCGGUUAAAGUUUGUGGCUCAACCAUAGAAUUGCCGUUGAAACUGGAAGACUUGAGUGUGUGAGAGGUAGGCGGAAUGCGUGGUGUAGCGGUGAAAUGCAUAGAUAUCACGCAGAACUCCGAUUGCGAAGGCAGCAUACUAGGGCAUAACUGACGCUGAUGCACGAAAGCGUGGGGAUCGAACAGGAUUAGAUACCCGAGUAGUC